AUUUCACUUAUAAUGUCACAACUAUUCUUCUUCGUGGCCCUGGUCAGUUUGUCAUGGCUUAUUUUGUUAGCUACUACUCCCUCUGUCCGGAAAUACUUGUCACCAAAAUGAAUAAAAAGGGAUGUAUCUAGAUAUAUUUUAGUUCUAGAUACAUCCAUUUUUGUCCAUUUUGAUGACAAGUAUUUUCGGACGGAGGGAGUACUACAGUAUUGUUCUAUUUAUUUAUCGACUUUGUUGCCUUUCUGCCUUAUUACCACAACUUAUAAUUUCUUUCUGUGAUUUAUUACCCAUUGCCUCCACAAGAGAAGCAUGUAAACUUUUCAGCGCAAGAGAAAAAUCACCUCUCGCUUCAAGAUACAUACACAAACACCAUAUGCCUCUCUUGUUUUGCUUGAUUGCUGUUGUGACAUCAUCUGAUCAAGUUAUGAGGUGAUCUGGAACAAGGUAUGUGAUCAAGCUAGAGAUAGAGAUGUGUUCGAUGAAUCAAACUAGACCGCACCAUGACAUGUUUUGUGCACGCCGGGCAUAUAUAUGCUGUAGGCAUCACACCAGAGAACAAGGCAUCUGCAGGUGGACAAGACCCUCUGAAAUUCGACAUUUUCAGGGAUGAAACUGGAACUCUACUUACCCUGAGAAAUUUGACAUUUUUCAGUGAAUGAAAUUCCAAACUCUGCCUACCCUGUAUCUUCCUGUAGGUAACCAUCCACUUAAUUCAAGAUCUGGUCAGCAGGAUCUGUAAAACAAUGAAUUAGUAUUUCGAGACGACGAAAACUGAAUUGAAGACAAUGACAUCUCAUCCACCGCCUGUUUGUUCCUGUCACCAGAUUAGUCAAGAGAGUGUUCGACGUGGCCAGGAGUGACUUCAUAGGCCCGUCGAAGCUGGAUGGAUCCACACAGGUGAAUGGCAUGAAAACUGCCGAGCUCCUCGACGCAGACAACAUAAUCAACAUACCGGUUGAGCUGUACAAGACCCAGGCAACUGUUGCAGUUUCCAGGGAGGAGUUCCUGGAUGUCGUGUGUGAUGCACUCACCCUGUACAAGUAUGUCGGGCCCAAUCAGAGGCUGACUUGCUUCUUGCCUGCAGGAUAAAGGAGAGGAAAGAAUCAGUGACAGUACUGUUGUGUGGCACAAGUGGAUGCAGCAAGUCCGCUCUAUCAUCUUUGUUGGGUACAGGUUGGGUAUCACCACCAUAGUUUCUACUGACUAUACGGCACAUGAUGAGGAGGUUCGUUGAAGAAAAAGAAAACCCUCUGCUCUACGCGUCAACCUACCACGCAGGGGAUUAUCUAG